rnacentral:rRNA from 1 species
AUUGAACGCUGGCGGCAGGCUUAACACAUGCAAGUCGAACGGUAGCAGGAGGAAGCUUGCCUUCUUGCUGACGAGUGGCGGACGGGUGAGUAAUGCUUGGGAAUCUGGCUUAUGGAGGGGGAUAACUACGGGAAACUGUAGCUAAUACCGCGUAGUAUCGGAAGAUGAAAGUGCGGGACCGUAAGGCCGCAUGCCAUGAGAUGAGCCCAAGUGGGAUUAGGUAGUUGGUGGGGUAAAGGCCUACCAAGCCUGCGAUCUCUAGCUGGUCUGAGAGGAUGGCCAGCCACACUGGAACUGAGACACGGUCCAGACUCCUACGGGAGGCAGCAGUGGGGAAUAUUGCGCAAUGGGGGAAACCCUGACGCAGCCAUGCCGCGUGAAUGAAGAAGGCCUUCGGGUUGUAAAGUUCUUUCGGUAUUGAGGAAGGUUGAUGUGUUAAUAGUACAUCAAAUUGACGUUAAAUACAGAAGAAGCACCGGCUAACUCCGUGCCAGCAGCCGCGGUAAUACGGAGGGUGCGAGCGUUAAUCGGAAUAACUGGGCGUAAAGGGCACGCAGGCGGUUAUUUAAGUGAGGUGUGAAAGCCCCGGGCUUAACCUGGGAAUUGCAUUUCAGACUGGGUAACUAGAGUACUUUAGGGAGGGGUAGAAUUCCACGUGUAGCGGUGAAAUGCGUAGAGAUGUGGAGGAAUACCGAAGGCGAAGGCAGCCCCUUGGGAAUGUACUGACGCUCAUGUGCGAAAGCGUGGGGAGCAAACAGG